rnacentral:rRNA from 1 species
CCUACGGGUGGCAGCAGUGAGGAAUAUUGGUCAAUGGGCGGGAGCCUGAACCAGCCAAGCCGCGUGAGGGAAGAAGGUACAGCGUAUCGUAAACCUCUUUUGUCAGGGAACAAAGGCGGGGACUAGUCCCCGGAUGAGGGUACCUGAAGAAAAAGCAUCGGCUAACUCCGUGCCAGUAGCCGCGGUAAUACGGAGGAUGCGAGCGUUAUCCGGAUUUAUUGGGUUUAAAGGGUGCGCAGGCGGCCUGUUAAGUCAGCGGUAAAAGGCCGGGGCUCAACCCCGGCGAGCCGUUGAAACUGGCGAGCUGGAGUUGGAGAGGAGAGCGCGGAAUGCGCGGUGUAGCGGUGAAAUGCGUAGAUAUCGCGCAGAACCCCGAUUGCGAAGGCAGCGUACCGGCUCCACACUGACGCUGAGGCACGAAAGCGUGGGUAUCGAACAGGAUUAGAUACCCUUGUAGUC